CCAGGCUAAAACUCUAGGAAACUCAUCGAAAAUCUUGCACCCACUUUUCUUUCUUUUUCUCUUGGAAGGAUAUGGACUUCCUUCUCACGCACAAGACUUCUCACGCCCCAAAAUUUUUCUCCAAAAAUCUUCUUCUUGCAUGCCCCACUCUUCUCCUCCUUUUAUAACAACGUCAAAAGUCUUAUCCAAAAGAAAGGAUAAAGAUGAGUAAUU
rnacentral:lncRNA from 1 species